UUUCUCUCCGGUGACGCCGUCUUUACAGCUGCAGCGCCCCCUGCUGUCACACCUGGAACUGACAGAACCUGAAGAGAAAAACACGUGGAGAGUCUUACAGUAGAAGCCGUCCUUGCAGCGCUCGCAGUGGCGGCCCUCGGUGUUCCCCUGACAGUCCACGCAGUGCAGACCGAAGGCGUCGCGGAGGCAGUACCGGGAUCUUCCAUUGCAGUCGCAACGCAGAAUCGCUGAGGAGGAGACGGGAGGUCAAGUCCAGUAAUAUUCAGUGUUCUGUGGUUUGUUCAGAAAAUCCCGGAGAGCUGCGCCACAAAUCACAGAGCCCCACCCAAAACAGCCAACGCCUCGUCUGAGGAAACAGCUCGUCUGCCUGCAGGCGCUCCGGAUCAUCAUCCGUCUGAUAAAAGUCACGCUGCAGUUUAAGUCUGGACAGGCAGCGACUUGUUCCUGCUGCUGGCAGAGAGUUCAUCAAACAGUGCUAAAGUUAUGUCAUGAAUGAGAAACAUUCAUCAGGAAUGAGCCUGAAUGGACCUGCACUGUCUCUUUAAUGCACAUUUAACAUUUUAGAUUGAACCUUUGGUUGCUAAGGUAACCAGCUUGGAUGGUUUAUUAGAUUUUUAUAUUAAUAAAAAGUUUCUGUCGUUCUCUUUACGGAAACGAUUAAGCAGAGCUAACGUUAUCGAACCAACGCAACAUUUUGUAGGUCCAGGGUUUGGUCUACCUGAGGAAGCCAAACCUUCAGGUCACAUGACCUCUGGUGUGUGACUGUGGUGUCUAAUGUAAGCGUUCACAGGGACGGUGAGGUGAGGUGAGGUGAAGGUGCGCCUGUUUGUUCUUGUGUCUGACCGUCGGCUCGAGGUUCCCCUCAGAUCCCUCAGCCUCUGACUCAGGGAUUCAUGUAGCGACAGCUCGGUCAGUGUGGUUCAGAGUACAGGACUGACUCACUCUGAUAACAGUUAAUGUUAACGGUCGCUCUUAUAGAACACGAGUCUGUCUGAGACGCUCCCUGAACGAAUGAAUCACAGGAAACAGAAUAUAUAUAUAUAAUACACGCUGAACUGUAUGAUAUAACAUAAUGAACACAAAACAUGUCUGUAGUUAUAGUUAAAUCAUGGUCAUUCAUGUCAUAUAUGGAACCUUUAAAAAACUAUAUUUUGAUCUGGUGACAUGAAAACAUUCAGCAGCAGUUUAGAAUAAAUCUACUUAUAUAAGGAUGACUUAGAAGCUUUUUCCAGAACUUUCUACCACACGAUGCGACUGUAAGGAGCGAGUAAGUGGUCCUUGAGGUGACCUUUGUUUGGAGCCAUGCUGAGAUAAGAAGAUGUGACACGAUGUAUGAUGCAGUAACAUGCAGGUAAACACGUGUCACACCUGGAUGCUCUUAUGUACACUGUAAAAAAAACAGUCAAAUGAUUGUCGGCAGCCUCCGCCAAACAAAACUAAAAUAAAAAUAAAUUCACUGAAAUGUUCAGUUUCU